GAAAGGGCUGCAGGAGCAGUCCCUCCCCUGGGAGAGCGGCCAGGGUGGCCUCUAGGUUCUCCUGCCGCUCCUGCCCUGACCAGUGAUGAGACGGGCAGCCUGGGGACCUCUUGUGUUGGAGUUGCGGGGGCCUCAGGACUGCCUGUGCGGUGUCGCCUGGCUGCUCCCCAGGGCCAGGGGCUGUAAGAAGUGGAAUCUGCCCUUUGGCUCCUGACCAGGGUCCGAGCCCUGGGGCUGUGCCUUGGGCCAACCACACCUCCUGUUCCAGAGCAGGUACACAGUCACUUCAGGAGGUACGAGGUGGAAUACCUACAGUUCGCCUUCCGGUGGAUGAACAACCUGCUCAUGCGGGAGCUCCCUCUGCGCUGCACCAUCCGCCUGUGGGACACCUACCAGUCCGAGCCUGAGGGCUUCCUCCCACUUCCACCUCUACGUGUGCGCCCCCUUCCUGGUCAAGUGGAGGAAGGAGAUCCUGGAUGAGGAAGACUUCCAGUCCCGCUUGGUUCUCACCAGAGCAGGCAGCAGAGUACAGCUGUUGUGAACAAGGUCCUGAGCCAGACUGGCUGGCUCAACCCCAGCCUCGCACUUCUCCAAGUCCCUUACCCUCCGCGCCUCAGUUUCCUCAUCUGUCGAAUGGCGGUGGUAACAUGCCUCUCCCAGAGUUGAUGGGAGGAUUAAAUGAACUAAUACAAAGUACAGGCAGUUAGCGCCCUGUGUGGCGUGCAGCGAUCCCCGCCGUGGUGGCUCCCUGGUGUCCUGGACAUCUCCACUCCUCCUCCCCUUCUGUCAAACAUCCCCCCUGGUCCUCCCACGCCCGCCCUUAGCAGAGCCCCCGUGCUCAGCACCACUCACC
rnacentral:lncRNA from 1 species